rnacentral:rRNA from 1 species
CACUAACGCUGGCGGCAGGCUUAACACAUGCAAGUCGAGCGCCCCGCAAGGGGAGCGGCAGACGGGUGAGUAACGCGUGGGGAUCUACCCAUCUCUACGGGAUAACGCAUGGAAACGUGUGCUAAUACCGUAUACGUCCUUCGGGAUAACGAUUUAUCGGAGAUGGAUGAGCUCGCGUUGGAUUAGCUAGGUGGUGGGGUAAAGGCCUACCAAGGCGACGAUCCAUAGCUGGUCUGAGAGGAUGAUCAGCCACACAGGGACUGGGACUCGGCCCGGACGACAACGGGAGGCGUCAGUGGGGAAGAUUGGACACAGGGCGCAAGCAUGAUCCAGCCAUGCCGCGUGAGUGAUGGAGGCCAUAGGGUUGUAAAGGUCUUUCACCGGUGAAGAUAAUGACGGUAACCGGAGAAGAAGCCCAGGAUAACUUCGUGCCAGCCGCCGCAGUAACAC